rnacentral:rRNA from 1 species
CCUGGCUCAGAGCGAACGCUGGCGGCAGGCCUAACACAUGCAAGUCGAGCGCCCAGCAAUGGGAGCGGCAGACGGGUGAGUAACACGUGGGGAUGUGCCCAAAGGUACGGAAUAGCUCCGGGAAACUGGAAUUAAUACCGUAUGUGCCCUUCGGGGGAAAGAUUUAUCGCCUUUGGAUCAACCCGCGUCUGAUUAGCUAGUUGGUGAGGUAAAGGCUCACCAAGGCGACGAUCAGUAGCUGGUCUGAGAGGAUGAUCAGCCACACUGGGACUGAGACACGGCCCAGACUCCUACGGGAGGCAGCAGUGGGGAAUAUUGGACAAUGGGCGCAAGCCUGAUCCAGCCAUGCCGCUUGAGUGAUGAAGGCCUUAGGGUUGUAAAGCUCUUUCGCCGGUGAAGAUAAUGACG